rnacentral:rRNA from 1 species
GACGAACGCUGGCGGCGUGCUUAACACAUGCAAGUCGAACGGAAAGGCCCUGCUUUUGUGGGGUGCUCGAGUUGCGAACGGGUGAGUAACACGUGAGUAACCUGCCCUUGACUUUGGGAUAACUUCAGGAAACUGGGGCUAAUACCGGAUAGGAGCUCCUGCUGCAUGGUGGGGGUUGGAAAGUUUCGGCGGUUGGGGAUGGACUCGCGGCUUAUCAGCUUGUUGGUGGGGUAGUGGCUUACCAAGGCUUUGACGGGUAGCCGGCCUGAGAGGGUGACCGGCCACAUUGGGACUGAGAUACGGCCCAGACUCCUACGGGAGGCAGCAGUGGGGAAUAUUGCACAAUGGGCGGAAGCCUGAUGCAGCAACGCCGCGUGCGGGAUGACGGCCUUCGGGUUGUAAACCGCUGUCGCCUGUGACGAAGCGUGAGUGACGGUAAUGGGUAAAGAAGCACCGGCUAACUACGUG